CUCUAAUUUGGCAUUAAAAUUAGAAAGAUCAUAUCAAAUAUGGAACGUGUGUACUAAGUUUCAAGUUGAUAGGACUUCAACUUCAUCAAAAACUACCUUGACUAAAAACUUUAACCUGAAACGGGAAGAACGGACGAACGAACGAACGAACGAACGAACGGACCCACAGACCAGAAAACAUAAUGUCCCUCUACUAUCGUAGGUGGGGCAUAAACAGAAUUUCCGUUUUAAGAAUCCCU
rnacentral:lncRNA from 1 species